rnacentral:rRNA from 1 species
GAUGAACGCUGGCGGCGCGCUUAACACAUGCAAGUCGAACGAAGCACCUUGAUUUGAUUCUUCGGAUGAAGAUCCUGGUGACUGAGUGGCGGACGGGUGAGUAACGCGUGGGUAACCUGCCUCAUACAGGGGGAUAACAGUUAGAAAUGACUGCUAAUACCGCAUAAGACCACAGCACCGCAUGGUGCAGGGGUAAAAACUCCGGUGGUAUGAGAUGGACCCGCGUCUGAUUAGGUAGUUGGUGGGGUAACGGCCUACCAAGCCGACGAUCAGUAGCCGACCUGAGAGGGUGACCGGCCACAUUGGAACUGAGACACGGCCCAAACUCCUACGGGAGGCAGCAGUGGGGAAUAUUGCACAAUGGGGGAAACCCUGAUGCAGCGACGCCGCGUGAGCGAUGAAGUAUUUCGGUAUGUAAAGCUCUAUCAGCAGGGAAGAAAAUGACGG